GGUAGACAUGGACCAACAAGGGAGAGAUGAAAGCCACAUGUGGAUAGUGCUUACCAUAUCGGACAGUGCAGCCCUAGAGGAAAGAGACUACACGAAGAGAGAAGCCACAUGGAAGAGAACUGAGCUGUCCCAUUGACUGCUAGCACAAAGGCACCAGAUGUGUGAGGCCUCCAUCCCUAUGUGAAUCUAUCCAGCCCAUGUAGAACAAAGAUGAACAGCCGCUACACUUCCCAAGCUAGACACUUGGAAGCCGUCUUUCACCAACUAUAUACAUCCAUUUUAAAACCGCUUCUCUCCAUCCCUACUGCCAUUCUUUUAGUUUAAGCUCUCAUCAU